GUAUGGAGGGACGGAGAAGGCUAGGCCAGCUUGGCGUUGGUUGUCCAAGUUUAAGGUGGUAGGCUGAAAUCUUAGGUAAAUCCGGGGUUUCAAGGCCGAGAGCUGAUGACGAGUCGUCUUUUAGAUGACGAAGUGGUUGAUGCCAUGCUUCCAAGAAAAGCUUCUAAGCUUCAGGUAACCAGGAACCGUACCCCACCGACACAGGUGGUCGGGUAGAGAAUACCAAGGCGCUUGAGAGAACUCGGGUGAAGGAACUAGGCAAAAUGGCACCGUAACUUCGGGAGAAGGUGCGCCGGCUAGGGUGAAGGAUUUACUCCGUAAGCUCUGGCUGGUCGAAGAUACCAGGCCGCUGCGACUGUUUAUUAAAAACACAGCACUCUGCAAACACGAAAGUGGACGUAUAGGGUGUGACGCCUGCCCGGUGCCGGAAGGUUAAUUGAUGGGGUUAGCGCAAGCGAAGCUCUUGAUCGAAGCCCCGGUAAACGGCGGCCGUAACUAUAACGGUCCUAAGGUAGCGAAAUUCCUUGUCGGGUAAGUUCCGACCUGCACGAAUGGCGUAACGAUGGCGGCGCUGUCUCCACCCGAGACUCAGUGAAAUUGAAAUCGCUGUGAAGAUGCAGUGUAUCCGCGGCUAGACGGAAAGACCCCGUGAACCUUUACUGUAGCUUUGCACUGGACUUUGAGCCUGCUUGUGUAGGAUAGGUGGGAGGCUUUGAAGCGUGGACGCCAGUUCGCGUGGAGCCAUCCUUGAAAUACCACCCUGGCAUGCUUGAGGUUCUAACUCUGGUCCGUAAUCCGGAUCGAGGACAGUGUAUGGUGGGCAGUUUGACUGGGGCGGUCUCCUCCUAAAGAGUAACGGAGGAGUACGAAGGUGCGCUCAGACCGGUCGGAAAUCGGUCGCAGAGUAUAAAGGCAAAAGCGCGCUUGACUGCGAGACAGACACGUCGAGCAGGUACGAAAGUAGGUCUUAGUGAUCCGGUGGUUCUGUAUGGAAGGGCCAUCGCUCAACGGAUAAAAGGUACUCCGGGGAUAACAGGCUGAUACCGCCCAAGAGUUCAUAUCGACGGCGGUGUUUGGCACCUCGAUGUCGGCUCAUCACAUCCUGGGGCUGAAGCCGGUCCCAAGGGUAUGGCUGUUCGCCAUUUAAAGUGGUACGCGAGCUGGGUUUAGAACGUCGUGAGACAGUUCGGUCCCUAUCUGCCGUGGACGUUUGAGAUUUGAGAGGGGCUGCUCCUAGUACGAGAGGACCGGAGUGGACGAACCUCUGGUGUUCCGGUUGUCACGCCAGUGGCAUUGCCGGGUAGCUAUGUUCGGAAAAGAUAACCGCUGAAAGCAUCUAAGCGGGAAACUUGCCUCAAGAUGAGAUCUCACUGGGAACUUGAUUCCCCUGAAGGGCCGUCGAAGACUACGACGUUGAUAGGCUGGGUGUGUAAGCGUUGUGAGGCGUUGAGCUAACCAGUACUAAUUGCCCGUGAGGCUUGAUC
rnacentral:rRNA from 1 species